rnacentral:rRNA from 1 species
UACGGGGGGGGCAAGCGUUGUUCGGAAUUACUGGGCGUAAAGGGCUCGUAGGCGGCCAACUAAGUCAGACGUGAAAUCCCCAGGCUCAACCUGGGAACUGCGUCUGAUACUGGAUGGCUUGAAUUCGGGAGAGGGAUGCAGAAUUCCAGGUGUAGCGGUGAAAUGCGUAGAUAUCUGGAGGAACACCGGUGGCGAAGGCGGCAUCCUGGACCAAUAUUGACGCUGAGGAGCGAAAGCCAGGGGAGCAAACGGG